GACCCAGGGAUCAAACUCUUAUCUCCUGUGUCGGCAAGCAGAUUCUUUAUCACUGAGCCAGGUUGCUGUGCAGAAGAUCCACUCAGUAGGUGACAUUUUCUCAGCUUGCUUCAGAAGAGGAAAGGCAGACUCUCAAAACCCUCAGAAAGGUUUUUCUAGGUCAGUGGGAGAGAAGAGUGGUCCAGAAGCCUGGGGCUGGCUCCCUGGAGGGGCUGGUAAGGGAGCCACUUAGAGACGGGAGAGGAGCGUCUAUCUUCAGGCUGUGAGGCAUCAGUUAGGAAAGCUGGACCAGAAGAGUCUCCAAGCUCAUGUGCAGUGUGGGUGCCCCAGAGCCAGGGGCUCAGCACCUCCGGAAAGAAGGCACAUGCUUUACAUCCACCCCUACAGAGAAGAGACCCUGCUUACUUCUCCCACCUUCUAGAAAAUGCUCAAUGCAGACUUUAGUACUAUGAACCUUCAUCAGUUUGUGAGACAGAGCUGUUCAUUUCUGCCAAAGGAGAGAGGACUCUAUGAGAGCAAAAAUAAAGCCACAAGUAGAGUAACUUCAGUAUCUUGCAUCUUUAUAUAAGUGUUGUUGGUGAUUGGUAUUUUUAAAUGCUCCCUGCACCUCUUAUGUAGGUGCCAGCAAACACCCACUCCCUAAUCAUGACAGGAUCCUUCUGAGCAUUGGAUGGGGCUUUCCUUCUUUCAGGCAUCCAGGCAGCUCAAAACUCUCCUUUGGUACUUCCCUGAAAAAGCUAUUUUCAUCCCAGGUUUCUGGUGUAUUUUUUACCCCAUCACCGCCACCUAUCAAAUGACAUUUGAUCAUUAAUUGCCUUUUAAUGACUCCAUCUUGACCACAUCUCAUAUUGUAAGCUGACUCAAAUCCUCUUUGGAAAUAGCUGGUUAUAAAUAAUAAGCACCAUCACAAAGUAUUUAAGAUAAAAUGGGCGGAAGGACUCAGACUUCAAGGAAAACACUUCCAGUGUUUUACAGCAAAAAGAGAAUGUCUGGCUCAAUGUCUCAUUCCUCCGGCAGGAACACUGAGGUCAAGAAAGGGAAUGAGACUUGCUCAAAGUCACACAGCUCAUCAGCGGACAAAUGGACUGAAACAGAGGCGCCUGAUGAUGACUCAGUGCUACCUCCCUCACAGUCACUAAUCAGGACACAUUUGGACAUGUGGGGCUCUGGCCACACCCACUGUGUCCAGCAAGACUAAGCAAGAGGAGUUUCUUUUUCCCCCUUCAUUCUCUUUGUUUUCCUGCAGCCCUUGGUUAGACUGCAAUGGAGUCUACUUUUCUUCUGAGAGUUACUAUCUAGGGAGGGGGUAUAGCAUCCUCAGAGUUAGUUGGAGUUGUGCAGCCUCGGACUUGCUGUGACCUCAACAUUUUCCAUGAAAACACGCAGGAUGUAAUUAAGCAAGAAGAGGAUGCCCAUAUGCCCUGCGGCAACAUGCAGAAUACACUAUUUGUCCCCAAAGUCCCAAAUAUCUUGAUGUCAAGUUUCUUUCCUCCCACUCUGCAGCAACACUUUGGGCAAAGCACAGAUUUCCCUUGAGAAUUUGUUGUUCUGCUUGUUCUCGGCUUGAAGUGACAAUUCCUUGAGUGAAAAGCCUGCAGCUGCCGUGGAAAUAAGG
ensembl:lncRNA